rnacentral:tRNA from 1 species
GGGCUUGUAGCUCAGGUGGUUAGAGCGCACGCCUGAUAAGCGUGAGGUCGGUGGUUCGAGUCCACCUAAGCCCACCA